rnacentral:rRNA from 1 species
CCUACGGGAGGCAGCAGUGAGGAAUAUUGGUCAAUGGGCGCGAGCCUGAACCAGCCAAGUAGCGUGAAGGAUGACUGCCCUACGGGUUGUAAACUUCUUUUGUAAAGGAAUAAAGUGAGGCACGUGUGCCUUUUUGUAUGUACUUUAUGAAUAAGGAUCGGCUAACUCAGUGCCAGCAGCCGCGGUAAUACGGAGGAUACGCGCGUUAUCCGGAUUUAUUGGGUUUAAAGGGAGCGUAGAUGGGUUGUUAAGUCAGUUGUGAAAGUUUGCGGCUCAACCGUAAACUUGCAAUUGAUACUGGCAGCCUUGAGUACAGGUGAGGUAGGCGGAAUUCGUGGUGUAGCGGUGAAAUGCUUAGAUAUCACGAAGAACUCCGAUUGCGAAGGCAGCUUACUAAACUGCCACUGACAUUGAUGCGCGAAAGUGUGGGUAUCAAACAGGAUUAGAUACCCGGGUAGUC